GUUGGCCAGGCUGGGGUCCUCCAGGUUGACUUGGAGUACCAGGAAAAGAACCCAGGCUGGCAGGAAGAGCAGCCAGAAGUACGCUCCUGGAGGAAGGAGAAGACACACCAGGGAUUCUAAUGUCGCCACUUUGAUCAGGCCUAAUUAUCAAAAAAGUGAAGUGAAUUGAUAGGGACUCUACAUCUGCAUACAACACAGUCAUCUUCUCCAACAUCAGCAGUGCUAUGACAAGAAAACAAAAAGGCAGCUGGCACUUACCAGGGGACUGAGCCUGACUUCUAGUGCGUCCUUCAGGUUUGUAUCCCUGCGGGAGGACGGUGCACUCUCCGUUA